UGUGUCAGUCACAUCGAAGUCGAUCAUCAUUUGUUUACAUUAAAAAAUGUGCUUCGUAAUCUCCGCAUCACAUCAUAUUGUGACGGUGUUUUUUUAUACAAUUGGUUCCUUAAAUAGAACGCAAAAUGGGUCGACACAAGACGACCGAUCCGAACAAGGAUCUAAGGUCCAUCAAACAGGGGCUGCCGGGAAUACUUUGUCCAGAAUAUCGUGACAUUCUAUGUAGUCCAAAUAAUCACAAUUCUGUCGAUUAAGGCCACAAAAAUAGCAAAUUUGGCAUCGUUGCUAUUUUUGAUGAUGGUGAACGAAAACAUUAGAGACAAUAAUGGUGAGGAAUUUUUCGAACAGGAUGGGAAAAAGGUAAUCCAAAAUUGUUUUAGAGCCGUGCUCUUGGCCAACAUUGAGAAUGUGUCGCUGAUGUUACCGGAUUUUCGCCACAUCGCAAAUUUCAUCGUAUGAAUCGCAUUUCAUUGAAUGGCCAACUAACAAUGGCUUCGGCGCAGCGUUUACGUAUCUGUGGGAGCAGUAUAUGGAUAACGUCAAAACAAAUCUGACUACCCAUUGCAAAAGCCGAUUAAAGAAAAUCUUUAAAAUGCACGUGUUUGAAUUGAACGAUUUUGCAACGCAGUACAAUUAUUUCAACGAUCGGUUUGGUGACGGUGACGCAUUGCCAUAUUACGACAAUGUUGACAUAACAAAUGCCGUCAACUACACAUAUCAUCGCAGAAAUACCAUCAAUGGCGAUGAACAGCGUGAAUUGCGACUGGGCGAGUUGUUAGAUGAGCUACUUUUUGUUGGUGCACCAGACGAUUGCAACAUCAAGGAUUUCCUUAAGAAUGACUGGUUCAAAUCCAUUCGCAUGUGGACAUUCAUUCAGCGCUCUAUCCGGAUGUUUCAUAUCACGUACAAAGAUCGCCGUGAUAAGCCACGAUUCCGGAAUUUCGUUGUUGUACCGAUGUGUGAUUUCCAACGGCGACACAUUCGGAUCGAUACAGAUGCAUUAUACAACAUAUUAAGCCAUAUAAAAGUUGUGCCGGGAAAAUUUUGUAAACAAAAAUCCAAAAAAGGAACGCCAAAUUGGAUCAACAUUGAGAAGAAAGAAUUCAGUAAAAACAAACAUGGGAGUAGGAAUCUGUUUUUCAAUGUGGAGAAAAUGUUUAAAUUGGUGAGCAACAAAAAGGAUUUUGAUCACCAGAUUUGUUCGGAUGGCGUAUCUGUAUCGUUUUUGUACAGAAAGCCAAAAGUACAGCCAGUCGAGAAAAGGGACGCUGAAAUCAAGGCAAUGUACGAUAGCAAACAAUUGAAGUAUGCUAUUGGAGUUGAUCCGGGGCAUGAGUACGUGGAACGCUUCAGUACGACGUGAGAUUGAAAUCAACGAAGAGGUGAAUUUGUGUAUAUCCAGCAAACGAUAUCAUUGGGACGCAAAACAAAAUCGUCGUGAUGCGAAAGCCGAAAGAAUCACACGAUUGUUUACAUUCGAAGAGCAAGCUGAUCGUAAUCGAAUUGCAGCUAUGAUUGGUGAAAUGCCAUCGCCAAAAGGACCAUUAUGGCGUUCAUACAUUGCACAUCGACUUCGAAUGAUGAACAACGGAAUUGAAACGUAUUCGGCCAAACAGUAUGCACGAUUGGGACUCAACUAACACAUUGAAUCGGUACGUGCGAUGGACAAAACGACAUGUAAAAUGGUACGAAAUGAACCAUCCGUUUUCUACAUUGAAGCCGGCGGAUCAACACCAGCCAAUUCAUGUACGCUGUCCAGACACGCGCAAACUCAUUGCAUUGAUCAUGAAACGUGGCAAUUGCAUCAUUCGAAUGAUCGACAAAUACAUGACAUCACAGCAUUGCCCAUUGUGUUUCAAGUGAAUUCCACUGGCAACUCGAGGCGAUCGAUACAAGAAAUGUGUGGGUUGUGUACCAAAUCAAGUUGUUGACUUACCAACACUCAUUGUAACCAAUAUGAGCAAACGAUUACUACAAAUGUUACGAACAAUUGAACGAAUGUGGCGCGAGAUACGAGAUAUGGGCGAUGUUAUUGCUGCAACUCUUUGAGAUGGACCGAAUGCAGCUCGUGUGGUGUCAAAGAAGCAAUGCUUCUUCAAAACAUGGCUACCAAAUGUUGCAAACGUUGAAAUCGAGGGAGCUGCUGGAGUACAACCAACGCUCACACAUACAGAUGUGCAUGUGUACAUGCAUCGUGAUAUCGCCACAGCGAAGCUGAUCCUGUACAAAGGUGAAUGCGUGGUGUUCAAGCGGACAAUCCAAAUGUACGCAAACUACUCCGCGUUGUCAACCAUCAACCUUUACCAGUGUAUCGCGGUCAGAAUCAGAAUGUCAACAAUGGACAACUGCAGCCGUAGUAGUGGCAGCCCUCAUUCAACAAAAACAACAUCAUUCAAUCAAAUUAUAAUUUAGAAAUUAGUUUAUAACAAUUAUUUGUUAGUCCGCUAGGCUUGAUUAAAUUGUGGCCUUGCCCCAGUACAAGUAUUC